rnacentral:siRNA from 1 species
AGAGUGCCAAAUGUCGCAUUAGU